GGGAGAUCAAGUGGAAUUUGUUGGCUGUGCAGAGGAGGAGAUGGAGUCAGUGUUGUGAAGAGCUGCUCUGGAGAUAUCAUUAAGAAGGAUUUUUGUAAAAUUUCAUAUAGAACAGAAUUCUCUUAGCAGUCUGUAAGACCUCCAGCUUCUCUGGAUUUUAAAGCUUGUCUGUGGUGGGACUACUUUCAUGUGAAAAGACUUUACAGUGAUGAUGGGAGAAGCCACCAGGUAUCCAAGGGUUUACAGUACGUUUGUAGAUAGCUUCCUGCUCCUUUAGACUGAAGACACCUGGAAGAGGAGCUUUCUUGAGGUGACCAGAAGGUGGAGGAGCAAGAUCACUAACUCUGAAGAAACCUUUAUGAUAUGAAGGAAUUGACCAACAGAGAAGGAAAGUUUCCCAAAGUUUUGUGGAAACAAUCUAGAAGAUAACAUGAGGGAAGUGGGAAACUGAAUUGUUGACCUCAAGAUUUCCAUUUUACUUGUAAUAACUGUCAAGGAAAAUGGAAAAGUUUGAAAUCCUUUGGAAAAUUUUUUUCCUUCCCACUCUGUGUACACCUGUACACAAAGAGAAGAUGUGACACUUGGAAGACAGCAGCAAGGAGUAAAGGAGGAAAUAGAAAGAAAAUGGCAAUAAAGAAGAAAAAUGUAUGUAACAAAAUGCCAAGGCUCGUGGACAUAGGCCCUGGGGAAUUUGUGGCUGAGCACCCAGCUGACCUCCCUGCUGCCCUGGGUAAACUGCAGGUUGCCUGAGUGAUUCAUGAUCCCACCUCUCACUGCACCAUUUAAACACCUGCUCAAUUAGACUGGCCACUGGUGAAGGUGAAGGAAAUGAAGCUGCUGAGCCGUGGACAGAGAAGCAAGGUAGAAGCAUAUGUUCCCACUUCUUGUCUCACUGCAAGGGUAUUUCCUCAGGGAUAGGACAGAGAGAAUUAUUGUAAUUUCUGAGUUGCUGAAGGAUAUAUUGAAUCACAUAUAUGUGUGCAGAAUAAGAAAAAGAAUCAACGAGUAAAAAUUUUAUCUGUCUCUCUUAGAAGUAAAGGGACUGAAGUACUGAAAGAAGGAAUGGAGUCUUCCUGUUACUGUAUCAGAUCUGAAACAGAAAGAUUCAGAAGUGUGAGUCCUUUCCUGCUGUUUUCUAGACAAAGUUAGGAGCCUUUGUUAGGGAAGAGCAUGUGAUCACCUGCAGACUCCUGCAGACCGAGGUGAUAGGUGACAAUCACACUGAGGUCAAAGCAAGUGAAGGAUCAGGGUGAGAUUUGUUCAAAGCCCUGGGUGCAGACUGUGAUAGCUCAGUAACAGUGAAUGGUGCCUUUUGUUAUGCACUGUCCUAUCAGGCAAUGGGCUAGAGGUGAGCUGAUUGAUAUGAUUGUCCUGAAAUCUCAGUGUGUGUGGGAGAAAAUACAUAAAAUAUUCCUCUUGUCAAGUAUUCUUCUUUACUCAAAGUAGAAGUGUAGAUAAUAUAAAUGGAAUAUAUAUUUUCUUCUACUUUGCCACUGCUAUAGGAUGAAAAGAAUGGAAACUGUAGAACAACGGUCAAGUAGAAAGAAUGGAAAUAGUGCAAGGAUGGAAUGAUUUUAACUGCAAAGAGGAGAGAUUUAGAUUAGAUGAUAGGAAGAAAUUCUUUACUGUGAAGGUGGUGAAACACUGGCACAGGUUCCUCAGGGAAGUUGUGGAUGCCCCAGCCCUGGAAGUGUUCGAGGACAGUUUGGAUGGUGCUUUAAGCAACCUGGUCUAGUGGCAUCACUGCCCAUAGCAGGGGAGGUGGAACUGGAUGAUCAUUCAAGUCCCUUCCAACCCAAACCAUUCAUUGCCACGAUUUUAUGAAAUAUUUUGAUUCCAGCUGGAAAGAAGUUUCAACACAAUUUGGGAGGAGGGAGGAAGGAAAAGAAAAUAAUUGAUUUUGGAUAAAUUUUGGUUUGGUUUAGGUAUAUUUGAUACCAUUUGUAACUUGAUAAUUUGAAAAUGAAUUUUGAAAAGAUUUUUCAAUUUGGAAAACAACUUCCAAAACCACUUUCAAACAGCAUUUUCAGAAAAGCAGAAUUCUGGUUUAAUGAAAAAGCUAUGUUCCAAAUCUUGGUUUUCUUCCACAAGAAGAAGAGUAAAAUCAAGAAUAAACUUUACUCAAAAGCAGCCAAAAGGCUGUUAUUUAGACACAGGUUAAGAUCCCAAGCCUCUCUUGCUCUCAAAUGCUGCAUUCUGAACCACAGAAAACUUCUUUCUCUGUUGUUAUUAUUUCAAUGAUAGACUUCCACAAUAGGUCUUUUUAGAAAUUUGAUUCUUUCAAUUACUCAUACAUAAAUCAAAUAAGUGCCACUGUAAUACAGCAUAAGUUUUAUUGGAAAUUUUGAUUAUACAAGAUAUUUAUGGAAACUAAAUUUCCUGUUUUAUUAGUCUAUUUCUUAAACACAUACAUAACAUAUUUCAGAGCACAGCAGGACUGCAUAAAAGGAUGGGUACUGGUUAAUAUGAAAGGCUAUCAUUAGUGAAAAUUAAAUUAAUUGUAUUAUGCCUUAUGUGCUAUUGGUUUUUAAUGAACAUACUAGAACAAAACAGCAGGAUUUCUUGAGAAGGGAAAAAUUUUGUAAACAAAACAUCAAAUACCUCACCAAGAAGCAUUAAAUUUCUGGAAACUAGAAAGAAAUCAACCAUAAUUUCUAACCUAUUGGAGAAAUUAGAACUACAGCCUCUAAAAUACUGUCUGUACUUUCAAUUCACAUCAGUGAUUUUGCUUAGUCUUUUUAGCCCAUUGCUGGUAGAUUCAGGUAGUCUUCAGAGUAGCUUGUUUCAUGACACAGAAAGAUUCUUCAAACUCUGGUCAGCUAGAUAGGACUGGAUCAUAUUUAAACACCAUGUCCACAUUUGUCAUCUACUUCAUUCUGCUUGAGAAAUUCUUUGAAUAAACUUUAAAAAUUUUCUUUUUUGUCUCUGUAUGUGUAAUAUUUUAUUAAUUACAGAUAUAUCAAAUUGAUCCAUGGACUUUUAGCAAGCUAAUUGCUGUAACAUCUAGAAUGUCCAUUAAAUAAACAGAGGUUAGUAAAGCUUGCUGUUAUCCACCAAAAUAUCCACAGACCUUGAAUCAUAUCUCCCUUGGUUUUUUUCAGUGUAAGGGCAUAGAUUUUGUGGAUUAAAUUUGUGCUGUGCCAAAAUUGACCUAUUAAAAAUCUUUUAAAUUCCUCAAAAGACCUGUUCUAAUCUGGAGCCUGAAAGCUGCAUACACCAUAAAUCUCUCCUGAGUAUUUACAAAAAAGUCACCAGAAGGAAAAUUACCCCACCUAAAUGCUCUUCCAAAUAGAAGAGAGCCUGAAGUAUCUCUUUAAAUUUAUAGAUUUUUUGAUGAAACCUUUAAUCCAAUAUUGAUACUUAAUAUUCACUAAAAUGUGAAAGUGUAAAUAGCUAGGCUGUAUACAAUGAGGUGUUUAAAUAAAAUCAAAUAAAAGAAAAUUAUA